CACGUAGGGCGCAAGCGUUGUCCGGAAUUAUUGGGCGUAAAGAGCUCGUAGGCGGUCUGUUGCGUCCGCUGUGAAAACCCGGGGCUUAACCCUGGGCUGGCAGUGGAUACGGACAGACUAGAGGUAGGUAGGGGAGAAUGGAAUUCCCGGUGUAGCGGUGAAAUGCGCGGAUAUCGGGAGGAACACCGGUGGCGAAGGCAGCUCGCUGGGACGUUACUGACGCUGAGACGCGAAAGCGUGGGGAGCAAACAGG
rnacentral:rRNA from 1 species